AUUGAACGCUGGCGGCAGGCCUAACACAUGCAAGUCGAGCGGAGCGGCGGACGGGUGAGUAAUGCCUAGGAAUCUGCCUGGUAGUAGGGGAUAACGUCCGGAAACGGGCGCUAAUACCGCAUACGUUCAGAUGAGCCUAGGUCGGAUGAGCUAGUUGGUGGGGUAAAGGCCUACCAGGGCGACGAGCCGUAACUGGUCUGAGAGGAUGACCAGCCAAACUGGAACUGAGACACGGUCCAGACUCCGACGGGAGGCAGCAGUGGGGAAUAUUGCACAAUGGGCGCAAGCCUGAUGCAGCCAUGCCGCGUGUAUGAAGAAGGCCUUCGGGUUGUAAAGUACUUUCAGCGGGGAGGCGUUACCCGCAGAGGAAGCACCGGCUAACGCCGUGCCAGCAGCCGCGGUAAUAC
rnacentral:rRNA from 1 species